rnacentral:rRNA from 1 species
UCAGGACGAACGCUGGCGGCGCGCCUAACACAUGCAAGUCGAACGGACUUUACGGAAACAGAAGCUUCGGCAGAAGAAGGAAAUAAAGUUAGUGGCGAACGGGUGAGUAACACGUGAGGAACCAACCCUUAAGAGGGGGAUAACACUUAGAAAUAGGUGCUAAUACCGCAUAAGACCACACUCCGGCAUCGGAGAGGGGUCAAAGGAGCAAUCCGCUUAAGGACGGCCUCGCGUCCGAUUAGGUAGUUGGCGGGGCAACGGCCCACCAAGCCGACGAUCGGUAGCCGGACUGAGAGGUUGAACGGCCACAUUGGGACUGAGACACGGCCCAGACUCCUACGGGAGGCAGCAGUGGGGAAUAUUGGGCAAUUGGGGGGAAACCCUGACCCAGCGACGCCGCGUGAGGGAAGAAGGUCUUCGGAUUGUAAACCUCUGUCUUCGGGGACGAUAGUGACUGUACCCGAGGAGGAAGCCACGGCUAACUACGUGCCAGCCGCGGC